rnacentral:rRNA from 1 species
GAUGAACGCUGGCGGCGUGCCUAAUACAUGCAAGUCGAGCGAACCACUUCGGUGGUGAGCGGCGAACGGGUGAGUAACACGUAGGUGAUCUGCCCAUCAGACGGGGACAACGAUUGGAAACGAUCGCUAAUACCGGAUAGGACGAAAGUUUAAAGGUGCUUCUGGCACCGCUGAUGGAUGAGCCUGCGGCGCAUUAGCUAGUUGGUAGGGUAAAGGCCUACCAAGGCGACGAUGCGUAGCCGACCUGAGAGGGUGAACGGCCACACUGGGACGGAGACACGGCCCAGACGCAGACGGGAGGCAGCAGUAGGGAAUCUUCGACAAUGGGCGAAAGCCUGACCGAGCAACGCCGCGUGAAUGAUGAAGGCCUUUGGGUUGUAAAAUUCUGUUAUAAGGGAAUAACGACUUUAGUAGGAAAUGGCUAGAGUGUGACGGUACCUUAUGAGAAAGCCACGGCUAACUACGUGCCAGCCGCCGCAGUAA